AGAGUUUGAUUAUGGCGUCAGGAUGAACGCUAGCUACAGGCUUAACACAUGCAAGUCGAGGGGCAGCAGGACGAUAGCUGCUAUGUGCUGGCGACCGGCGCACGGGUGAGUAACGCGUAUCCAACCUUCCCUUAGUAGGGCAUAGCCCGGUGAAAAUCGGAUUAAUACCCUAUGUUGUGUCAUGAGGACAUCUGAAUAACACUAAAGAUUUAUCGCUAAGGGAUGGGGAUGCGUCCGAUUAGGUAGUCGGCGGGGUAACGGCCCACCGAGCCCUCGAUCGGUAGGGGUUCUGAGAGGAAGGUCCCCCACACUGGUACUGAGACACGGACCAGACUCCUACGGGAGGCAGCAGUGAGGAAUAUUGGUCAAUGGGCGUAAGCCUGAACCAGCCAAAGUAGCGUGCAGGAUGACGGCCCUAUGGGUUGUAAACUGCUUUUAUACGGGGAUAAAGUGAGGGACGUGUCCCUUAUUGUAGGUACCGUAUGAAUAAGGACCGGCUAAUUCCGUGCCAGCCGCCGC
rnacentral:rRNA from 1 species